ACUGAAAUUUUGAUCUCGCUUCCGCAUUUUAUGUGUUUAAAUACUCACUCCAUUUUAACAUUUCCGGGGCCGUUACACUGGCGAUCCGCAUGCCCCGAGAUCGGACGACCCAGAAGCGGUCCCACACGCGUGAAAUGUCCGAAUCUGUUUUUCCCUUAGGCACAAUCGGACGGUCGAGAUCAAAUGCAAUGAAUGACCUAGAUUUAUUUCUUCCAUAGGCGUAAUCGAACUGUCGAGAUCAAACGCAUUGAAC
rnacentral:lncRNA from 1 species